AUGCUUUCACAACUUGACUUCAAAAUAUUUGGUUUGGAGACCAUCAAAGAUCAAUAUGUGCAUGAUGCUGAUUUUAAAGAUGUAAUGCAGAAUUGUAAAGAAGGAAGAAUGUGGAACAAGUUUGUCGUUAACGAUGGAUUUGUGUUUCGUGCUAACAAGCUAUGCAUUCCAGCUAGCUCCGUUCAUCUUUUGUUGUUGCAGGAGGCGCAUGGAGGAGGAUUAAUGGGACACUUUGGCGUGAAGAAGACGGAGGACGUACUUGCUACACAUUUCUUUUGGCCAAAGAUGAGACGGGAUGUUGAGCGUUUUAUUGCUCGCUGCACUACAUGUCAAAAAGCUAAGUCACGACUCAAUCCUCAUGGUUUAUAUAUGCCUUUACCUGUACCUAGUGUUCCUUGGGAGGAUAUAUCUAUGGACUUUGUUUUAGGUUUACCUCGAACAAAGAAGGGGAGGGAUAGCAUAUUUGUUGUCGUGGAUAGAUUCUCGAAAAUGGCACACUUUAUACCAUGUCAUAAAAGCGAUGAUGCUGUUAAUGUUGCUGAUUUGUUCUUUCGUGAAAUUAUUCGCUUGCAUGGUGUGCCAAAUACUAUUGUUUCAGAUCGUGAUACUAAAUUUCUUAGCUACUUUUGGAGAUGUUUAUGGGCUAAGUUGGGGACUAAACUGCUUUUUAGUACUACUUGUCACCCCCAAACUGAUGGACAAACUGAAGUAGUCAAUAGAACGUUGUCUACUAUGCUUAGGGCUGUUUUGAAGAAUAAUAAGAAAAUGUGGGAGGAAUGCUUGCCUCAUAUUGAAUUUGCUUAUAAUCGUUCAUUGCAUUCUACUACUAAGAUGUGCCCUUUUUGA
rnacentral:rRNA from 1 species